rnacentral:rRNA from 1 species
AGAGUUUGAUCCUGGCUCAGGACGAACGCUGGCGGCGUGCUUAACACAUGCAAGUCGAACGGAAAGGCCCUUCGGGGUACUCGAGUGGCGAACGGGUGAGUAACACGUGGGUGAACUGCCCUGCACUUCGGGAUAAGCCUGGGAAACUGGGUCUAAUACCGGAUAGGACUACGAAUCGCAUGGUUUGUGGUGGAAAGCUUUUGCGGUGUGGGAUGGGCCCGCGGCCUAUCAGCUUGUUGGUGGGGUGAUGGCCUACCAAGGCGACGACGGGUAGCCGGCCUGAGAGGGUGUCCGGCCACACUGGGACUGAGAUACGGCCCAGACUCCUACGGGAGGCAGCAGUGGGGAAUAUUGCACAAUGGGCGCAAGCCUGAUGCAGCGACGCCGCGUGGGGGAUGACGGCCUUCGGGUUGUAAACCCCUUUCAGCACAGACGAAGCGCAAGUGACGGUAUGUGCAGAAGAAGCACCGGCCAACUACGUGCCAGCAGCCGCGGUAAUACGUAGGGUGCGAGCGUUGUCCGGAAUUACUGGGCGUAAAGAGCUCGUAGGUGGUUUGUCGCGUUGUUCGUGAAAACUCACAGCUCAACUGUGGGCGUGCGGGCGAUACGGGCAGACUGGAGUACUGCAGGGGAGACUGGAAUUCCUGGUGUAGCGGUGGAAUGCGCAGAUAUCAGGAGGAACACCGGUGGCGAAGGCGGGUCUCUGGGCAGUAACUGACGCUGAGGAGCGAAAGCGUGGGGAGCGAACAGGAUUAGAUACCCUGGUAGUCCACGCCGUAAACGGUGGGUACUAGGUGUGGGUUUCCUUCCUUGGGAUCCGUGCCGUAGCUAACGCAUUAAGUACCCCGCCUGGGGAGUACGGCCGCAAGGCUAAAACU